CUUCACACACACACACUGCUCACACACUGUCCCCCUCACACACACACACACUGCACCCCUUACACAUUGCACCACUCACACACACCACUGCUCCUAUGCCCUACUACCGCCCCAUUUCCCAGCAGACCUCAGGUAAGUUGUCAAACUGUUCUUAAACGGUUUGACUACUUACUCUGGGAGGGGGUCCCGGCACUAUUGACACCAUAACCACUACACUGAGCUGUAGUAGUUAUUGUGUCUGGAUUAUUUCUUUAAAUAAUCUACAAGUGC
rnacentral:lncRNA from 1 species